rnacentral:rRNA from 1 species
GGCACUUUUUAAAUCCAUAUCCACCUUGUGUGCAAUGUCAGUCAUUCUCUUAUGAGAAUGACCAAACAUCAACCUAUUUUUAACUCUUUGUCUGAAAAAUAUUAUGAAUAAAUAAUUCAAAAUACAACUUUCAACAACGGAUCUCUUGGCUCUCGCAUCGAUGAAGAACGCAGCGAAAUGCGAUACGUAAUGUGAAUUGCAGAAUUCAGUGAAUCAUCGAAUCUUUGAACGCAUAUUGCGCUCUUUGGUAUUCCGAAGAGCAUGCUUGUUUGAGUAUCAGUAAACACCUCAAAGCUUUUCAUUUUUGGAAAGCCUUGGACUUGAGCAAACCCAACACCUUUCUAUUUCAGAUCGGCGGCGGGUUGCUUGAAAUGCAGGUGCAGCUGGACAUUCUCCUGAGCUAAAAGCAUAUUUAUUUAGUCCCGUCAAACGGAUUAUUACUUUUGCUGCAGCUUACAUAAAGGGAGUUUGACCUUAUUGGCUGACUGAUGCAGGAUUUCACAAGGGUUCGGCAACGAUUCUUGUAAAACUCGAUCUCAAAUCAAGUAAGACUACCCGCUGAACUUAAGCAUAUCAAUAGGCGGGAGGA